GCGGCUGUAGCUCAGUUGGGAGAGCCCUGGAUUGUGAUUCCGGUUGUCGUGGGUUCGAGCGCCAUCAGUCGCCCCA
rnacentral:tRNA from 1 species